GAUGAACGCUAGCGACAGGCCUAACACAUGCAAGUCGAGGGGCAGCAUGAAAGUAGCUUGCUACUUUUGAUGGCGACCGGCGCACGGGUGCGUAACAGGUGUGCAAUCUGUCCAUAAUCGGGGAAUAGCCCAGCGAAAGUUGGAUUAAUGCUCCAUGUGAGUUUUAGAGGCAUCUCUUUAACUUGAAACGUAAGGAUUAUGGGUGGGCACGCUUCUGAUUAGGUAGUUGGUGAGGUAACGGCUCACCAAGCCGACGAUCAGUAGGGGUUCUGAGAGGAAGGUCCCCCACAUUGGAACAGAGACACGGUCCAAACUCCUACGGGAGGCAGCAGUGAUGAAUAUUGGUCAAUGGACGCAAGUCUGAACCAGCCACGUCGCGUGAAGGAUGAAGGUUCUAUGGAUUGUAAACUUCUUUUGUCUGAGGGUAAAAAAGCGGACGUGUCCGUUCUUGCAAGUAUCAGACGAAUAAGCAUCGGCUAACUCCGUGCCAGCAGCCGCCGUAAAAC
rnacentral:rRNA from 1 species